rnacentral:lncRNA from 1 species
UGCAAGCUGAAGCUUAUUUCUCAUGAUAUAGGCAAGAAAAAUGUGUCAGGUUGCCACCACCUUCCUCCCUGGGCCAGAAUUUUCUGCUCUUACGAUGCUGAUGAUUGUCUAAGAUUGCACCAUCCACCCUGGAGGUUGCUGACUCCCAUUUGAUUGCUGGCCUGCCACUCAUCCUGUGCUGUUUUCUUGGAGCCUGACCUCCUCAGUGAUUGCUGCUGGAGAGACUGAAUGGUGCAACCUGGAAGUGCGGUGUAGC